UAGAUGAUUUUAGUGCUUGCACUAAAUGAAACUAGAUACAAGCGAGCGGCGGACGGGUGAGUAACACGUGGGUAACCUGCCCAAGAGACUGGGAUAACACCUGGAAACAGAUGCUAAUACCGGAUAACAACACUAGACGCAUGUCUAGAGUUUGAAAGAUGGUUCUGCUAUCACUCUUGGAUGGACCUGCGGUGCAUUAGCUAGUUGGUAAGGUAACGGCUUACCAAGGCAAUGAUGCAUAGCCGGGUUGAGAGACUGAUCGGCCACAUUGGGACUGAGACACGGCCCAAACUCCUACGGGAGGCAGCAGUAGGGAAUCUUCCACAAUGGACGAAAGUCUGAUGGAGCAACGCCGCGUGAGUGAAGAAGGGUUUCGGCUCGUAAAGCUCUGUUGGUAGUGAAGAAAGAUAGAGGUAGUAACUGGCCUUUAUUUGACGGUAAUUACUUAGAAAGUCACGGCUAACUACGUGCCAGCAGCCGCGGUAAUACGUAGGUGGCAAGCGUUGUCCGGAUUUAUUGGGCGUAAAGCGAGUGCAGGCGGUUCAAUAAGUCUGAUGUGAAAGCCUUCGGCUCAACCGGAGAAUUGCAUCAGAAACUGUUGAACUUGAGUGCAGAAGAGGAGAGUGGAACUCCAUGUGUAGCGGUGGAAUGCGUAGAUAUAUGGAAGAACACCAGUGGCGAAGGCGGCU
rnacentral:rRNA from 1 species